CAGCAGCCGCGGUAAUACGUAGGGGGCGAGCGUUGUCCGGAGUUACUGGGCGUAAAGCGCACGCAGGCGGUUUCGUACGUCUGGAGUGACAGUUCCCGGCUCAACUGGGAAAGGUCUUUGGAAACGGCGAGACUUGAGGGCUUCAGAGGGACACGGAAUUCCGGGUGGAGUGGUGAAAUGCGUAGAGAUCCGGAGGAACACCAAUGGCGAAGGCAGUGUCCUGGGAAGCAUCUGACGCUCAGGUGCGAAAGCUAGGGGAGCGAACAGGAUUAGAUACCCUGGUAGUCCUAGCCGUAAACGAUGACCACUAGGUGUGGGAGGUAUCGACCCCUUCCGUGCCGUCGCAAACGCAGUAAGUGGUCCGCCUGGGGAGUACGGUCGCAAGAUUAAAACUCAAAGGAAUUG
rnacentral:rRNA from 1 species